ACAGAAGGUCAAUAAAUUAACCUUCUUUGUGCAUUGAAAUAAAGUUCAGCAAGUUAUUUAUUUAGUAAAUAUUGAAAGAGGUAUGAACAGAAGCAUUCAGAAUCAUGAGCUGGACACAGUUUAUGAAAAUAUACUUGGAAAACAUCUUCAGAUCUUCUAUGGAUGGAAUACAUUCAGGCCCCCAUUUUGUAGGUGACUCAAACUGUUUCAUUCCCAUCAUGUGUAAGGACUACCUUCCUUUUAAUACUUCAGUUGUGGUAUAAUAAUGGGAUUGAUGUCUCCAGGUGAUGAAUGAGGUAGGUUGUUUCCUGCUCACAAAGUGGGAAACACCAAUAAAACCACCCUUCUUUCCCCAUAACAAUGUUGCACUCACCAAAAGCAAAAGGGCAAUUGACUCUGAAUGCAUGGUGCAGUUCCCUUUUAUACCCUUGCUGACCAGGUAGCAAUGACUGAGGUUCAUUGGUUUGAAAUUCUGGCUGCAGACACUGAUUGGUUCACAUUUGCAUCCAGGUAGUUCCAAGGCUUGCCUGGGAGGCUGGGCUACCUGGGAGGCUGGGCUUGGAGCCCUGGCAAGGGAUUGCUUAAUCCCUACCUUGUGGCUGACUCUGGUUUCACUGAUAUGGGAACCUGACCAGCCUGCUGUGUUUAAUGCUGGCCAGCCAGGUAUGUCCUACAACCCAUCCCUUGGGUGUUUUGACAGCUCUUGGAAUAAGGGAAAGAUGGUGUCUGGGAGAAGCUGCUUAGAGUUUUUUCUGCUUCUGCUUAGCAGUGUUUUGUUUUAGCUAGUUAUAAAAUGAACAAACGACUGUUAAACUGUUGAACUGUUAUUUUGUGGCAUCGGAACUACAUGUACCAGGAGGCUUUGAGGAAAGAAGGUAGGAUAGAAAUAAAUAUUUUGGACUGCCAGGUCUCUAGCAAUGGGUACAGCAAAGAGCUGUUAUCUCUGGGAAUGUGCUGUGCUUGACGACAGCCAGCCUGGUAUGUCCUACACUGUCCUUUCCUUGUCUCUUCCCUGGCCACUGGAGCACUGCAUUUUCAGCCUCUCUGAGCUUUUCUGAGGGUUGGGGGAUGGAUUCUAUGUUGAAUUUCCCCUCCUGAGCUCAUGGCAGUAUCUAUGUCCUUGAUAGGGGGAAUCCAAAAAAUUCUAUGGCCCCUUUGAUGCUCUCCAGGGCCAUAGGAUUGCACUGUAAAAUAUAUUCACUGGGAUUGGAACAUGGAUAAAUGAUCUUCAAUAACACCCCCCCACCCCCAACCCAGUCAUGCUCUGGAGGAUCUCCAAGCCCUACAGAGCUGCUUUUCAGGAAGUCUAGAGGGUUGCAGUUGGAAAGAAGGAACCACAAAGACCCCUUGUAUCCCUCAAAUUGGUCCAGAAUUGAACCUGGAAUUUUUUCAAGGCCUGAUUUGUGGUGAUGUUUGUGGGAGCCUUAAAACAUCAACACUUCCCCAUGCUACUAUGCCUUUCUCCUCGUCCAGAAAGAAUAAUUCCUUUGCUUCCAGUUUCUUCCUGUUCAGUGUGGCUACUAUUAUUAAUGCAAUACUAAUGUGUUAUUGUUACCAUAACAAUAGUACACAAUUUUGUAAUUGUGCUAUAUUUAGUCAGUUUCUGUUUCCUUUGUGAGUGGGCUUCAAUUAUUGGCUUAUUUUCUUUGAUAGAAAAAACUCAGUGUGGAACUAGAACAGGAAUUGCCUAAUUACAAGGCAAUUGGUAAAAAGUUAAUUAGCAACUAAUAUGUAGUGCUGGAGUUACACUGAACAGAAAAAAAAGUUGUGUCCCCAGCACUAUAUGACUCUAGUAUAAAA